GAGGGUAUAGCUCAGUGGUAGAGUACGUGCCUAGCAUGCACAAGGUCCUAGGUUCAAUCCCCGGUACCCCCA
rnacentral:tRNA from 1 species